UACGGAGGGGGCAAGCGUUAUUCGGAAUCAUUGGGCGUAAAGGGCGCGUAGGCGGCCGAUCAAGUCGGAGGUGAAAUCCCUCGGCUCAACUGAGGAAUUGCCUUCGAUACUGUUCGGCUUGAGUCCUGGAGAGGGUAGCGGAAUUCCCGGUGUAGCGGUGAAAUGCGUAGAGACCGGGAAGAACACCAGUGGCGAAGGCGGCUACCUGGACAGGUACUGACGCUGAAGCGCGAAAGCUAGGGGAGCAAACAGG
rnacentral:rRNA from 1 species